rnacentral:rRNA from 1 species
AUGGCGGAGAUGGAUUUGGGCGACGUGGUGCUCUCCUGGUCCAUCCGCGACAUCAACGACGACGACCUCUACAGGGACAAGGUUGAGACCAUUCCCUGCAAAUUCAAGUCAGUUGAUCACUAUCUCCAAUCGUAUCGUCUGCCUCUGAUUGAAGAAACGAGGUCAGAUCUGUGCUCAUGCCUUGAACUCAUCAAUGAAGCACCCUCGUCGAAAAUACUUUCCAUGGAGGUAGCAGGAAAAUCAGGAUUAUACUUCAUGGAUGUGGACUUCUGGGACAAUGGUGCUGGUUUUUCCACUGAGACAUACACGGCAAGGAAUGGUGAUAUAUUCAUUUUGUCUAGCUUGAAACCUGAAUCUGCAGAGGACCUUAACCGCUACGGUGUGACAUAUUGCUUGGCAAUGGUUACUGAGGUUUCUUUGGAUGAUGAAUACCAGAAGGGUUUCAGAGUUAAAGUUGCAAAGGAUAUUGGUUUGGAAGAAGAAGACUUGAGUAAAUUCAGACAUGCAAUAUUUCUCACUAAUAUCAUGACAAAUAUACGUAUAUGGAAAGCACUUUCGUUUGAUACGCACAUGGAUAACAAUUUCACAGUAAUCAAGUCUCUGUUAGCCCCAACAAAUUUGGGUGAUGAUGUAUGUGGUAUCUGUGUUGCACAGGAUGGGAGCUUAUUGCCUUCCUUGACAGAGCAAUUACUAUCAAUCAAACUUAAUCAAUCGCAACUGGACGCUAUUGAAUCUGUGAUCUCAGCUGUACGAUGUAGGCAUAUGAACCUGUUGAAGCUUAUAUGGGGUCCUCCAGGUACUGGAAAGACCAAGACUGUUAGUGCUUUACUAUGGGCUUUGGCGUGUGUGAAAUGCAGAACUCUUACUUGUGCUCCCACUAAUGUCGCUGUCGUUGGAGUUUGCACUCGUUUCCUUCAAAACUUGAAGGAGUUCAAUGAGCACAUUGAUGAAAAUGGUCUACCCUUUUCUCUUGGAGAUGUCUUGCUGUUUGGGAACAAGUAUAACAUGGACAUCACCGAGGAUCUUCAGGAAAUUUUCUUGGAUUUUCGGGUGGACGACCUUGUUGAGUGCUUUUCAUCGUUGUCUGGAUGGAAGUACAGAAUAGCUUCGAUGGUAUCCUUUUUUGAUGACUAUGUGUCACGUUACGAUAUGCUUCUUGAGGAUGAAGGAAAUAGUGAUCCCGUGAGCUUUCUGGACUUCAUAAAGAAACAGUUUGAUGCGAUAGCAAUAGCUCUGAAAAGAUGCAUAAUGAAUUUGUGGGUUCACCUUCCUGGAAGGUGCUUUUCUCGUGAUAGUGUCGUAAAUAUAUCUUCCUUGCUUAAUAUGCUGGAAAAUUUUGGGACCCUUCUGUGCAACGUAGACUUGACUGAAGAUUGUUUGAAAAGGGCCCUUGGUUGUCUGUCAAAUGAAAACUCUGUUUGUGUAAAGCCUAUAUCUUCUAUUGAGAAGGAACUGGACGGAGCAAGGUCUUCAUGCCUUAAAUUGCUUAAAGAUCUGCUACACUCGCUUAAUUUACCCACUGGAGUAGACAAAAACUGGGUCCAGAGCUACUGCAUACGUAAUGCCACACUUCUUUUCUGUACUACCUCUAGCUCUUACAGGUUGCAUCACAUGGAGAUUGCACCCCUUGAUGUCUUAAUUGUUGACGAGGCUGCUCAAGUGCGGGAGUGUGAGUUGGUGAUCCCUCUACGUCUGCAUUGGUUGAAGCAUGUUGUUUUGGUUGGAGAUGACUGUCAGCUGAGUGCAAUGGUUAAAAGUCAAGUAUGCAAAGAAGCUGGCUUUGGUACAAGUCUUUUUGGGAGAUUGGUUAUGUUGGGAUUAGAUAAACAUUUGCUGAAUAUACAGUAUCGCAUGAAUCCUAUUAUUAGCUUGUUUCCAAAUGUUCAGUUUUAUGAGAGGAAGAUUUUAGAUGGUUCAAAUGUCCUGUCACCUAGCUAUAACAAGGAUUAUACAUGCUUCCCGUUUGAUAGCUACACUUUUAUAAACCUCACUGAUGGAAGGGAAGACAAAGAAGGCACAGGAAACAGUCGAAGAAACAUGGUUGAAGUUGCUGUUGUUUUGCACCUGAUCCAAACCAUCUUUAAAUGUUGGAAAAGUACGGGCAAAGUGCUCAGCGUCGGUGUGGUCUCUCCAUAUAGUUCUCAAGUUGAUGCAAUUAAAGGUAGACUUGGCAAACAAUAUGACACAUGUGAUGGCUUUCAUGUGCGAGUCAAGUCUAUUGAUGGUUUCCAAGGAGAAGAGGAUGAUAUAAUAAUACUAUCAACAGUUAGAUCCAACGGGAGAGGAGUUGUUGGAUUUCUUGCUGAUAACCAAAGGACAAACGUUGCUCUUACCAGGGCAAAGCACUGUCUUUGGAUUGUUGGUAAUGCUCAUACACUGUACAAAAGUGGAACUGUCUGGACAGACCUUGUUUCUGAUGCUCAAAGACGUAAAUGUGUUUUCAAUGCCACUAAUGACACGGCCUUAUGUAAGUUGGUUUUGCAAGUAAAGCAAGAUCUUGAUGAACUUGAGGAUCUUCUUAAUGCUGAGUCGGCCGUUUUCAGCAAUACCAGAUGGAAGGUCAUUGUUAGCGACGAGUUUAGAAAGUCUUUCACCAAGCUAAAAUCAUCACAGCUCAGGAGAGAAAUACUCCAAAAGCUUGUCAAAGUUGGCGGUGGUUGGAGGACACCAGUUAGGAACUUGGAUGUACCUGGUGUUUCCAAUCUUGCGAAAGUAUACAAGAUCAGGGACCUUUAUCUUAUUUGGAGUACUGACUUGGAGAAAAGUGAAGAAAGGUAUAUCCAGAUAAUAAGAAUUUGGGACCUACUUUCACAACAACAUGUUGCAAGAACCGUUCAACGUCUCGAGAACCUAUUUUCCAUGUACACAGAUGAUUACCUGGAUCACUGCAGAGGAGUGCAGACCCUCGGGAAACUGGAGGUUCCUAUGGUUUGGGAUGUUGAGCAUGAUAUUAUUCACUAUAAGAAGGAUUGCAGAGUUGAUGCCCAGGAAGAGCAUGAUCUAGUGGAUACAUCAUAUGCUAUGGAAAAUUCAAAAGUUCGCGAAAGCUUCUUGCUGAUGAAAUUCUACUCGUUAUCAUCUGGAGUGGCAAAACAUUUGCUGACGGCUUCUGAUGGUUCUGAAAUCGAUAUCCCCUUUGAACUAACUGAUGAAGAGAAGGUGAUAAUCCAAUUCCCGGUCACUAGUUUUAUACUUGGGAGGUCAGGCACCGGAAAAACCACUGUAUUGACAAUGAAAUUGAUUCAAAAAGAGCAACAGUCAUUAAUUGCCUCCCAAGGUCUACAUUUGGAUGGAGAUGAUUUGUCAGGGCUUGAUGAAAAAGAUAUUGUGCCACUGAAUGAUGCAGGAGAAGGUUUUGUGAAACAAGUGUUUAUCACUGUAAGCCCAAAGUUGUGUUCAGCCAUAAAAAAUCACAUUUCUGGACUUAAAAGGUUUGGCUCUGGUGACGUCUCUGAUCAGCCUAGCAUUCUUCACAUGCAUGACAUCAUUGAUGACCAGGAAGAGUUUACAGAUAUACCUGACAAUUUUAGCAAUCUACCUCAUGAGCACUAUCCUCUUACUAUAACAUAUCGGAAGUUCUUGAUGAUGCUUGAUGGAACAUGCCGGACAUCAUUUUUUGAUGUGUUUUAUGGUGAACUGCAGCCUAGCAUUGAUAGAGGGCAUUCAAACUCCCGUGCACUGCAAACUUUUAUUGAAUCGAAGGAAGUUACCUAUGAGAAAUUUGCUGCUACCUAUUGGCCUCGUUUCAAUGCAGACCUGACCAAGAAUCUUGACGCAUCCACUGUCUUCACUGAAAUAGUUUCUCAUAUAAAGGGUAGAUAUCAAGCAAGCAGUCCUUAUAUCAGCAAGCUUGGAAGACAAGAUUAUGUGAUACUCUCAGAUAAAAGAUUUUCAUCUCUGAACAGUGAGAAGAGAGAUAGGAUUUACAAUAUUUUUGUUGAUUAUGAGAGUAUGAAAUCCACUGCCAGAGAGUUUGAUUUGUCAGAUUUUGUCAACAGCCUUCACACCAGUCUUGUAUCCGAGGGCUACAAUGGAGAUCUAUUGGACUUUGUUUACAUAGAUGAGGUGCAGGAUCUAACCAUGACACAAAUAGCACUUCUUAAGUACGUCUGCAGGAACUUCAAGGAAGGCUUCCUUUUUGCUGGUGACACCGCACAGACUAUAGCAAGGGGUAUCGAUUUCAGGUUUGAAGAUAUUCGUUCGCUUUUUUAUACCGCAUUUCUCUCAGAAACGGAAGCAUUUAAUCAAGGAAGUCAACAGGGAAAACAAGUCAAACUCUCUGAUAUGUUUCAACUUACUCAAAAUUUCCGCACACAUUGUGGCAUCCUUCACAUGGCACAAAGUAUCAUGAGCCUUUUGUACUUCUUUUUCCCGUCAAGUGUUGACAAGCUUAACCCAGAGACUGGACUUGUGUAUGGAGAAGCACCCGUGCUGCUGGAGUCUGAUAAUGAUGAAAAUGCAAUUAUGACUAUAUUUGGAGAAAUCAAAAGUAAGCAUGGUAGCAUGCAUGGGUUUGGUGCUGAGCAAGUCAUAUUAGUUCGUGAUGAUGCUACCAAAAAACAAAUUGUUGAUCUUGUUGGUAAACAGGCUCUUGUUUUGACCAUUGUUGAAUGUAAGGGCCUUGAGUUCCAGGAUGUGCUGUUGUACAACUUUUUCGGCUCGUCGCCCUUAAGAAACAAAUGGAGAGUUCUGUACGGCUACAUGAAAGAUAAAGAUAUUAUAGCACAAUCUGAAGAGAUCUCUCAUCCGGGUUUUGACAGAAGCAAGCAUCAUCUUCUCUGCUCAGAGUUGAAGCAACUCUAUGUUGCAAUCACACGCACUAGGCAAAGGCUGUGGAUAUGUGAGAAUACAGAUGAUUACUGUCGACCAAUGUUUGACUACUGGAAGAAGUUGUGUCUUGUAGAGGUUAGAUUACUUGAUUCUAACCUCGUUCAAGCAAUGCAGACAGGAAGCAGUGCUGAUGAUUGGAGGCUACGGGGAACAAAGUUAUUCAAUGAAGGGCAAUUUGAAAUGGCUACAAUGUGUUUUGAAAAAGCUGGUGAUACAUACAGAGAGAAGUGGGCAAGAGCUGCCGGACUUGUAGCUACUGCUGAACGUGCCAUGUCCUCAAAUUUGGAGAAGGGCAACGCUCAAUUGCAAACAGCAUCAGAAAUCUAUGAGUCCAUAGGCAUGCAUGAGAAAGCUGCUACCUGCUAUAUCAAAUUAGGUGACUACAAAAGAGCAGGUAUGAUCUAUAUGCAAAAAUGUGGUGCUUCCAGACUCGAGGAUGCCGGUGACUGUUUUGCCAUGACUGAAAGCUGGUCAGAUGCAGCUGAUGUGUACUUCAAAGCUAAAUGUUACACCAAAUGUUUCUUGAUGUGCUCGAAAGGAAAACAAUUAUUUAAUCUUGGCUUGCAGUUCCUGCAACAGUUGGAGGACCAUUUGGCUGAGAAUUCAAAAUCCUUGGAGGUUUCUGCAAUCAGAAAGACAUAUCUUGAAAAUUGUGCUCAACAUUAUUUUGUGUGCCGUGACAUAAAGCAUAUGAUGCAUUUUGUCAAGGCUUUCAGUUCUAUGGAUCAUGUGCGGGCAUUCUUAAAGUCUAGAAAUCUUGUUGAUGAACUGUUCAGUUUAGAGAUGGAAAAGGGUAAUUUCCUUGAGGCUGCAGGAAUGGCAAAGCAUAAAGGAGAUGUCCUGCUGGAGGUAGAUAUGCUCGAGAAGGCAGAUAUGUUUGAGGAUGCAACACGGCUUCUCCUACUCAAUAUCAUUGUAGAUUCCUUCUGGUCUUCAAACAGUCGAGGGUGGCCUCCCAAAAGAUACGCAGAGAAGGAAGGGUCGCUUGCAAGGGCCAAACAGAUGGCAAAGAAGGUCUCUGAGGGCUUCUACAGCUUUGCUUGCCUGGAAGCUGAUGCACUGUCAGAUAUGAAGAGGUCUCUUCCCAGUUUAAAUUGCACUUUGCUUGAUGGCAGAAAAUGUGAAAACUUGUUCGUUGAAUUUAUUGCUUCCCGUUUGAUUCUUGAUGUUCAUCUUCAGUCCCAAACCUCUGAAUAUAAUUUGGAAUUAGGACCAGGAUCUGAAGAUGACAGUAGUUGUAAUGAUAUGGUUGCUCGUAACCAGAUAUCACCCCAAACUCUAGCGUAUGCUUGGAAUCAUUGGAAGUCAAUCAUAAUCAAAGUACUAUCUCAUCUUCGCCACACUGAUGGUCCAGAAUUAAAUGAUUAUGAAGUUUUGUAUGAAGAGCUUUGCUGUAAGUACUUUGGGUUGAGGAAAGAUGGCGAAGAUGGCCGAUAUGUCGUGCUUAACAUGAAUUCAAGUUGGCUCUCUAAUGCAGGCAGAAAUUCUUUGCAGCAAGAUGGCAACAGAUGUUGGCUGGAUGUCCUUCAGUGUCAUUCAUGUGCUCAGUCUUUCCUGAUGAAUGAGUUGUCUUCUGUUGGUUUGAGUGUACUUAAGAAGUUGGAGACCAUUGUUCAAAUUUAUCCAAAUCCGGCAUCUUCAUAUGCCCUGGUGAGAACUACCCUUAUCAUAAAAGAGAUAGCUAACUUUUUGGAAGAACCAGAGUUCAGUAUGCCGAAAAGUACCAUGAAGUUAAGAAGCUUCUCUGCUCUGUGCGAGCGCCGCUUCUUUGAGUUAGUUUUUCUUGUCUGGAGAGAUGGCGCAACGAGGAGCCUCUUGCGUAUACUUGACUCACCAGCUUCAUAUUGUUUGGUUGCUGAUUCCCUUGGUGCAAAUCUCCGGCCAAGAAAUAAAAAUUUGACUUACGGGCAUCUUGGGAGGACAACUGUGCUUCUGCUUCAUGCAGCACGAUUGGAUGAUGCACUCAUUUCAAGGCUGCUACAGUACCUCGACAAUGAUUCUGACUGGGCAAAGUUUUUCCGACAUUUGAAGAGAUUUCUUGAUACUGGUGUUGAUAGAUCCUACUUGAUCAAGAACUUUAGGACUGCUCUUAAUUCUACCUUCUAUGAUGUGACUUGGAGGAAUGAACUGGAUUACAUAUCCCCAAUAUGCUAUGUGGGUCUGAUGGAGUGCCUUGGUUUCUUGGCUUCAUCGUACCUUCUACAGAAAGGUUGUAUAUAUGGCACAAAAUCUCUGUUGCUCAAUAUGCUGGACUGCCGUACCAGCAAGGUUUACCUUGACAGCUGCCUGGUAUCUAAUUCGAGCCCAGAUCCCGAUCUUGAGGAGAUGACAUUCUUAUCAGGGCGUUUCAUAUUUGAUACAAUUAUGAGUAUCUUGAGAAACAAGAAUACGCUCCGGGAUUGGGUACAGAAGACUUCAACUCCUAGUUGUUCAUACACUGCAGUCCUGUUGAGACUAGUGGUUACACUUUAUCCACUGAUCCUAACUCAUGAUGGUCUGGGGAACUGCUAUGAGGCCACAAAUAUUCUUCUGAAGCAUGGAGUCUUUAAGGAUUUACCUGUGGAAUUCUCUCAGAAGAUUGUGCGUGUCCUGCAACUGCAAAUGAGGUCUCGCACCAGGGGCAACUUCAGAAGAGCACUUGCUGAUGCAGUUGCUGCAAUCGGAGAUCGUAUGGUAGUUAUGGGUCCACCCAAAGAUAUAGCAAGCUUUCAGAACAUAAAUGCUGAUAUGAUUAGCACAGAGGAUUUGGGUGAUGUUCAGAAGGUAAUGGCUAUUCUUCGUCCUGAAGAGGCAAGUUCUGUAAAGGAAGAGGCCGCACUGCUAGAAAAAUCUGAUGGUAAAAAAAACAUUCCUAAGGCUGUACCAGCCAAUAAGGUGGAGAGUACAAGUGAAAUAGAUUUAAGUGAUGAGAAUACUCCCUUCUGGGAUAAGUUUGAGGCUUUUCAAGCCAACAAGGAAGGCCAGAAAGAUGCAAGGGUUAUUAUCCAAUUCCUUAGAAGUGUUGUUCGAUGGAUGGAACAAGCAGGCUUUACAGGAAAGCUUGAUGCACAACUGUUGGAAGAUAUCAGGCGCAUCCGCAGUGAAUUUGAUGAAUGCAUUGCUGGGAUGGAGAAGACAGCUUGUCUGACUCUGGAGGAUCUAUACUCGAUAUGGGGAGAUGGUGAGAACAAACUGCAGACGGUCAUCAGCUUUGUGUCCUCCGCAAGGGCGUCCAUGGAAGAAGAUGACAGGAGGAAUGUCCAGCCGCAGACUGACAGAGCGGUUGAAUGGACCGGAUGUUCAGACAGUGAACCUGACACGGGAGGAAGCAACGAGGUGGAACCGUUGAAGGAGGAAGCAGUGGCCGCCGCCUCGACCUCGCAGAAGGGGGCGCAGAAGCACAAGGGCAAGAGGAAAUCCAAUAAAGGUAAAGGCCGUGGCAGGAAGUGA